AUGGUCCCAGUGACGUACGUGUUCGGCGACUCGAUGUCGGACGUGGGAAACAACAACUACUUCCAGCUCUCCCUCGCCAGGUCCAACUACCCUGGACCCUGGCCCUGGUACGGCAUCGACUCUGUCAAGUUUGGCAUCCCGCCCCCGCCGCCAUUCCUCUCCCUGUCGAUGGCCGACGAUGACUUCCUCGUCGGCGUCAACUUCGCGUCCGGUGGCGCCGGCAUUCUGAACGACGUCUACUUUGUCGAGUACUUCUCGUUCGACGAGCAGAUAUCGUGCUUCGAGACUGUUAAGAGGGCGAUGAUCGCCAAGAUCGGCAAGGAGGCCGCCAAGGAGACCGUCAACGCAGCGAUGUUCCAAAUUGGUCUCGGGAGCAACGACUACAUCAACAACUUCCUGCAGCCGUUCAUGGCGGACGGCACCACGUACACGCACGACCAGUUCAUCCGCCUCCUCCGGCUGUACGGGCUCGGCGCGCGGAAGGUGGCGUUCAACGGGCUGCCCCCGCUGGGCUGCAUCCCGUCGCAGCGCGUCAACUACGCCGUGCAGUUCAACGCCGCCGCCAAGAAGCUGCUCGACGGCAUGAACGCCAAGCUGCCCGGCGCGCAGAUGGCGCUCGCCGACUGCUACUCCGUCGUCAAGGAGCUCAUCGACCACCCACAGAGAAACGGGUUCACGACGUCCGACACGUCGUGCUGCGGCGUGGACACUAAGGUCGGGGGCCUCUGCCUGCCGGACUCGACGCCCUGCCGCGACCGCAAGGCGUACGUGUUCUGGGACGCGUACCACACCUCCGACGCCGCCAACCGGGUCAUUGCAGACCGCCUCUGGGCCGGCAUGACGACCGCCAGCGCUCCGGCUCCGGCUCCUCGCGCCGGCGCGCCAGGGCCAGCCGCGGUGCCGGCGCCUUCUCCUUCUCGGGCUUAA
rnacentral:rRNA from 1 species